GACAGAGGGUGCAAGCGUUAAUCGGAAUUAUUGGGCGUAAAGCGUGCGUAGGCGGAUUAGUAAGUUGGAUGUGAAAUCCCCGGGCUUAACCUGGGAACUGCAUUCAAUACUGCUAGUCUAGAGUACAGUAGAGGGAAGUGGAAUUUCCGGUGUAGCGGUGAAAUGCGUAGAUAUCGGAAAGAACAUCAGUGGCGAAGGCGACUUCCUGGACUGAUACUGACGCUCAGGCACGAAAGCGUGGGGAGCAAACAGG
rnacentral:rRNA from 1 species